CCUACGGGAGGCAGCAGUGGGGAAUAUUGGACAAUGGGCGAAAGCCUGAUCCAGCCAUGCCGCGUGUGUGAAGAAGGCCUUCGGGUUGUAAAGCACUUUCAGUGGGGAAGAAAGCCUUGGGGCUAAUACCCUCGAGGAAGGACAUCACCCACAGAAGAAGCACCGGCUAACUCCGUGCCAGCAGCCGCGGUAAUACGGAGGGUGCGAGCGUUAAUCGGAAUUACUGGGCGUAAAGCGCGCGUAGGCGGUCUGAUAAGCCGGUUGUGAAAGCCCCGGGCUCAACCUGGGAACGGCAUCCGGAACUGUCAGGCUAGAGUGCAGGAGAGGAAGGUCGAAUUCCCGGUGUAGCGGUGAAAUGCGUAGAGAUCGGGAGGAAUACCAGUGGCGAAGGCGGCCUUCUGGACUGACACUGACGCUGAGGUGCGAAAGCGUGGGUAGCAAACAGGAUUAGAUACCCCAGUAGUC
rnacentral:rRNA from 1 species